rnacentral:rRNA from 1 species
AUGGCUCUUUGGUAAUAUUUUAUAAAGAGUCUAGCCUGCCCAGUGAUUAAAUUUAACGGCCGCGGUACUCUGACCGUGCGAAGGUAGCAUAAUCAUUUGUCUUAUAAUUGAAGUCUAGAAUGAAUGGUUUAACAAGAGUAAAGCUGUCUCUAUAUAUUCUAUAUAAUUUUAUGAUUAAGUUAAAAAGCUUAAAUUAAAUUAAAAGACGAGAAGACCCUAUCGAGCUUUAGGAAAAUAAUGAAUUUUUUAACAUUGAUGAAUACUAAAUAUUUAAUAAAACUUUAGUUGGGGCGAUUCAGGAACAAAUAAAGCUUCUUGUUAGUAAGUUAAAUUGAUAGAUAUAGGAUCCAUAAUUUAUGAUCAAAAGAAUUAGUUACCGUAGGGAUAACAGCAUUAUCUUUUUUGAGAGCUCAAAUCGAAAAAAAUGUUUGUGACCUCGAUGUUGGACCAAGAUAACCUAAAAGUGUAGAAGUUUUUAAGGGUUGGUCUGUUCGACCAUUAAAAUCUUACGUGAUCUGAGUUCAGACCGG